rnacentral:lncRNA from 1 species
AAUAAGUGAGGUUCUAAUAGUGGCAGUGUUUCUCAAGGUGUGGUAUGCUGAUUAUCUGUUUCAGAAUUACGUGGCAUGCUUCUGGAAAACAUAGACUUCUGGGAUGGGCUCUACAGAUCUACAGAAUCAAGGUCUCCGACAUAAAGAUUACAAGUCUAUGUGGUCAACAAAUGUUCCAGAUAAUUCUUCUGAAUUCUAACGUUAGAGAAUUACUAGCUUCUGUUGAAAUUAAGUGUACUAUCUUAAAAUUAUCUUCUAAUAGGCUUUCAAUAGAAUUGGGGAUUCAAAUAAUCAACUUUAAAAAUAAGUUUCAUGGAUCAGCACAACACAUUCUUGGCUUGUCAGAUUUGAUACCAAUUAAAAUCAUCCUGAAGUUGACCCUUAGAAAUGAGUACAGCAAGGUAGAAAGCACUGAAUUAGGAAUUCCAGGAGCUGAGUUGUAGACCCCCUUCUUCAUUUGUUUCCCUGCCUUGGGAUCUAGAAAGAAUAUACGUUUUAAAGUUAGAACAAAUUGGUUUUGAACCAUUGCUCCACUUCACCGGCUUCGUGACUUGGGGGUAAGUUAUUAUCUGCUCUGAAUCUCACCUUCAUUAGAAUUCAAUGAAGUGGUGUAUAUAGUGUAGUAAGGACAGUACUUGGCACAUUUUUGGCAUUGUGUUAGUUCCCUUCUCCUUUUCAUCAUGAUACCAAAAUGUUUACAUGUUUGUUUGUUUGUUUUUUUAAGAUUUUAUUUAUUUAUUUGACGGAGAGAGAGAUCAAUGUAGGUAGA